CGGAGGCAGCAGUGGGGAAUAUUGGACAAUGGGCGCAAGCCUGAUCCAGCCAUACCGCGUGGGUGAAGAAGGCCUUCGGGUUGUAAAGCCCUUUUGUUGGGAAAGAAAUCCAGCUGGCUAAUACCCGGUUGGGAUGACGGUACCCAAAGAAUAAGCACCGGCUAACUUCGUGCCAGCAGCCGCGGUAAUACGAAGGGUGCAAGCGUUACUCGGAAUUACUGGGCGUAAAGCGUGCGUAGGUGGUCGUUUAAGUCCGUUGUGAAAGCCCUGGGCUCAACCUGGGAACUGCAGUGGAUACUGGGCGACUAGAGUGUGGUAGAGGGUAGCGGAAUUCCUGGUGUAGCAGUGAAAUGCGUAGAGAUCAGGAGGAACAUCCAUGGCGAAGGCAGCUACCUGGACCAACACUGACACUGAGGCACGAAAGCGUGGGGAGCAAACAGGAUUAGAUACCCCGGUAGC
rnacentral:rRNA from 1 species